AAGUCGUAACAAGGUUUCCGUAGGUGAACCUGCGGAAGGAUCAUUAAUGUGAUAGCGCCCUGCACUCGUGCGGGGCUGCUAGCCAUCCUUGUGUUGUGUUCUGACGUUGCCUGCCUCUCGGGGCAGCAGCACUUUUUAACUCUGUAUCAUUCAUCUUAUCUACCUGCUCGCAAGAGCACAACAACCGAAAACUGCCAGCAAUGGAUCACUCGGUUCUC
rnacentral:misc_RNA from 1 species